GACGAACGCUGGCGGCGUGCUUAACACAUGCAAGUCGAACGGAAAGGCCCUGCUUUUGUGGGCUGCUCGAGUGGCGAACGGGUGAGUAACACGUGAGUAACCUGACCUUGACUUUCGGGUAACUUCAGGAAACUGGGGCUAAUACCGUAUAGCAGCCCACGCUCCGUGGAGGGCGUUGGAACGUUUCGGCGGUUGUGGAUGGAUUCGCGGCUGUUCGGCUAGUUAGUUGGCUAGUGGAUUACCAAGGCUGUGACGGGUACGCGGCCUGUGAGGGUGACCGGGCACAUGGCGACUGAGAUACGGCCCAGACUCGAACGGGAGGCAGCAGUCGCGAGUAUUGCACAAUGGGCGCGAGCCUGAUGCGGCAACGCCGCGUGCGGAAUGACGGCCUUCGGGGUAUGAACCGCUUUCGCCUGUGACGAAGCGUGAGUGACGGUAAUGAGUAAAGAAGCACCGGCUAACUACGUG
rnacentral:rRNA from 1 species